rnacentral:snRNA from 1 species
UGUCCUCCAUAGGAGGUCUAUAUUGAGCAGAUUCUUUUUGGUAUUGGGUGGUGGAACCGGAGCGUGCUCCAUCCACUCCAUGCAUUGACCUGGUAUUGCAGUGCUUUCAGGACCGGUGC